rnacentral:rRNA from 1 species
UAAUACAGAGGUGGCAAGCGUUGUUCGGAAUUACUGGGCGUAAAGGGCGCGUAGGCGGUUCGUUAAGUCCUGUGUGAAAUCCCCCGGCUCAACUGGGGAACUGCACAGGAAACUAGCGGGCUUGAGUUCGGGAGAGGGAAGCGGAAUUCCGGGUGUAGCGGUGAAAUGCGUAGAUAUCCGGAGGAACACCGGUGGCGAAGGCGGCUUCCUGGACCGACACUGACGCUGAGGCGCGAAAGCUAGGGGAGCAAACGGGAUUAGAUACCCCGGUAGUCCACGCCGUAAACGAUGGGUACUAGGUGCCUGGGGGAGCGACCCUCUGGGUGCCGGCGCUAACGCAGGAAGUACCCCGCCUGGGGAGUACGACCGCAAGGUUG